AAUAUUAUAGUUUAUUUAAAACAUAAGUCUUGUAAACUUAAAAAGAAUAAUUCUU
rnacentral:tRNA from 1 species